UUGAAUUUAGCUCAGUGGUAGAGCAUGUGCCUAGCAAGCACAAGGCCCUGGGUUUGAUUCUCAGAUCUUAAA